rnacentral:rRNA from 1 species
UACAGAGGGUGCGAGCGUUAAUCGGAAUUACUGGGCGUAAAGCGCGCGUAGGCGGCUUUGCAAGUCGGGUGUGAAAUCCCCAGGCUUAACCUGGGAACUGCAUUCGAGACUGCAUUGCUAGAGUAUGGGAGAGGGAAGUGGAAUUUCCGGUGUAGCGGUGAAAUGCGUAGAUAUCAGGAGGAACACCGGUGGCGAAGGCGGUGAUCUGGGCCAGUACUGACGCUGAGGAGCGAAAGCGUGGGGAGCAAACAGG